GUUCAUACAGUGAACUGAGUGGUGACAUCUGUUUUUUUAGGCUUCUGAAAUCAGACAGAAUGAAGUACUUUGUCAGGAAGAAUUUGGCUCCGUACUGCUGUAAGGUCCACAUUACUGAGCUUCAACAACAUCUUGGCCUCAUCUUCUGUUACGUGGACCACAUCGGGUCCCCUGUGGUGAAGAGAAAAUGCAAAGAAUUGUGGAAAAUGUUUGGGUUGAAAAGUUCUCAGAGUUCUAGACUUUAAAAAAAUGUUUCUAAUGAGUGUUACUAAAAAAAAUAUAUUUAAUUAACGUUAAAAAAAUAU
rnacentral:lncRNA from 1 species